UGUGGGAGCGGGCUUGCUCGCGAAGGCGGUCUGUCAGUUAGCCAGUUAUUGCCUGACACGCCGCUUUCGCGAGCAAGCCCGCUCCCACA
rnacentral:misc_RNA from 1 species